rnacentral:rRNA from 1 species
UACGAAGGGGGCUAGCGUUGCUCGGAAUUACUGGGCGUAAAGGGCGCGUAGGCGGACAGUUUAGUCAGAGGUGAAAGCCCAGGGCUCAACCUUGGAAUUGCCUUUGAUACUGGCUGUCUUGAGUUCGGGGAGAGGUGAGUGGAAUGCCGAGUGUAGAGGUGAAAUUCGUAGAUAUUCGGCGGAACACCAGUGGCGAAGGCGACUCACUGGCCCGAUACUGACGCUGAGGCGCGAAAAGCGUGGGGGAGCAAACAGG